rnacentral:lncRNA from 1 species
AAUCACCCAGAUCUGCAGUCUACUUUAUGAGACCAAGAUAUCAACUUCUUGUGGCCAUGCUAUGGAGAUUGCACAAUGGACCUAUUGCUUCAAAGGAGAGUCACACAACACUCCCCAGCCACUGUGUUGACAGCCCUGGGCUGGAGGAAAGGCAGCAGUCUUCACAGAGCUCACUUUACGGCUGGGCUCACCCUUCACCCCAAGACAGCUUUGAUCACUGGGAAGUUUCCACAAACACAGAAUGAAUGAGGAAGAAGGUGAUUAUAUUUUCGGUGUGAUCCACGUGGACGAGAGGUGUUGCAUGUUUUUACAAAUUGAAGAUCUGUGACAACCCUGGGUCAAGCAAGUCUAUCAGUGCCAUUCUUCCAACUCGUUAGUAUACUCACUUUGCAGACGAGGAGACUGAGUCCUGGAGUAGGUGUAUAUGCUGGAGCAGCUGUACUUAAGUCCAGAAAUAAGAAGAUAUUUGAUCUGAGGACUCAGGAGAGAGCAUGGCUGCUGCAUAGAUGGUGCCUUCCAUCGCUUGACAUAGGGAAGCCCAGCCAAAGCCUGUGUCUUGGGCAGCCGGGGAGCUCUCAGGAUGGCUUGAAAUCUCCCACAUGGCCUGGGCCUGUUCUCCUUCCCCUCCAGCUCUCCUGGGUGCAGUCAAAGCUUCACUCCCUACACCCUACUGAACUAUCAGCUGACUGAUUCCCACUUGUCCAUGCCCCAGGACCCCACAGAAGCUCCACAUGCUUCCACAAGCUGAUGCACCAGUUCCAAGAGGAGGAAGAAAAGCUGGCACUCAGCCUUUAUUUCUCCCCAAACACCACAGUCAUUCAAUUCUGAAAAAAAAAAAAAAAAAAAAACCCAUUGCUUUGAAAAACAUAAAAUGAGAUCUAUCAAACAGCAUCUUGUAUUUUAAAGUGGAAAGAAUGGACUUUGGAAUCAUCUUUGGCAGCUAAUAGGCUGGGACACGCAGAGAAAGAGCUUGCCUGCCUCUGCAGACAUUCCUUGGACGAGUGGUUCUAAAUCCCAGCUACACACUCAAAUAGCUGCAGGAGGUUUAAAAACUGUCAAAUCUCCCAGCCCCUGCCCAGCCCAGUCAAUAUUUAUCUCAGGAGGAGGAGCCCUAAAACCAGUGUCUUUUCACAGAGCUCCCUACAUGACUUUGAUGUGUGGCCAGGUGAUAUCUCCUGAGUUCGGAGACACUGAUGCUAUCACUCACACCUAGUCAAAUGAGAGGAGUCGGGGAUGACAGAAGAAUGCAGGCAACUUACCUACCUGAAGCUGGGGCCUCAAGGUCACCAUGCCCUUGAGUGAGCCCUGUAUGGGUCUACCUUGUGUCUGAUGGUUCUCAGCAGGCACAGCUUCUCUUCAGGGCUUCUGCCGACAUCUUCCCUGCAUGUGGAAAAUGGCCUGGGGUCCCCUUAGACUCAGCUCAUGUCCUCCCCUUUGCUCAGGUUCCCUCUGAGUCCCGGUACCCGCCCAUGCUGCAGACCUCCUCAUGACUCCUUCCUCCCUGAGGCCUGGCCAUCUGCACACCCCCAUCCUAUCCUGUCAGCUUGUUUUUUGUCUCUUUGGUGACCAGACAUGAACCCCUCAAGGCUGUUCCCUCCACAUCCCCAGCGCUCAGUUUCAGGCCAGCCCAGGGCAGGAUGCACCUCGUGCAGACCAAGGGAAAGAGCCAGCAGCUGCUUCACAUGAGCCUGUCCUCUGCACCUGAAGAGAAUCUUUGGAAGGCCAGCGCCCCCACUUGUCCUGAAGGUGGAGGGGCUGUUCCCUCUAGCCCACACCUGUCAUUCUAGGACUAACUUUCACUUUUUGGAAGCCAGAGCCACUCCCGACCAUUCAGGGCCUUUCAGCAUUCGGAAGGGACAGUGACUCCUCCUUAGAUACCACAUGUAGGACAGGAGGGAAGUUCAAGAGUGGUGUCAAGGGCCAGAGACAGGGAAGCUGGGGGGUCUGAAAGAAGCUUCCAGGAGAUGUCUUCACUGCAAAAUACCAUACACCAAGGGGCUACAGGCUAAAACAAGACAUGUAUUUCUCACAGUUCUGGAGGUUGGGUGUUGGGGAUUAAGGUGCCAGCCAGCAUGGUGGGUCCCUGGUGAGGACUCUCUUCCUGGCUCACAGGUAGCCGACUUCUCACUGUGUCCUCACAUGUGGGAAAGAAAGCUCUGGUCUCUUCAUCCCCUCGUAAGGACUAAUCCCAUCAUGGAGGCACCACCUUCAUGACCCCAUCUAACCGUAAUUACCUUCUAAAGGCACCACCUCCCAUAAUAUCACCCUGGGGCUUGGGGCUUCAACAUAUGGAUUUGGGGGAACACAGACAUUCAGUCCAUAGCAAGGCACAUGGGGAAGUUGGAGCAUGAGAGCAGAGGAGACACCCACACAUCUCAGGAGAGCAGUCACGUGUUCGGAGGAUGUCAAGCCACGCUGAAGGCCCCUAGCCAUGCUGGGGAGAGCAUGCUCUAGCCAUGGAGUUGAAGAUGAGGUGGGAGUUGCCCUUGAGACCUUUCAUCUAGGACCUCCCAAGUUCCAUGAAGAGACAAGAGAAAACAGUAAGGGCACUGUAUUCAAGGGAAUGAGGGGUGAUGAGUCCCUCUUGGGUUCCUCAGUAAUGUCUUCCAGGACAGUCCAUUGAUUACACCUCUGCACCAGUCAGCGGACUUUUAGUGAGCCCUGGUAAUGUGCCAGAUGCUGUGCUGUGAGUGAGAUGUGCACAUUUCCUUCCUCGUGGAGCUCACACUCUCAUGGGGCAGACACACAAUCACACAAUCGCACACAUGUGCAGUGUGCAGAGCCUCCCUACAGGCUGGCCCGUGCCUUCCAGCUGCAUUCACCUGAUAGGAGGGCCAGCUGGAGACCAGAGGCUGGAGGCAGCCAGGGAGGAAUGUGGGCACUGGUUUUCUGACUCCCUGCCCGCUGCAUUCUCUGCAGCAGGCCCAGUUCCCGCCCAGCCCCCAUGCUGCACAAGGUUCUGAGAAUCACUCCUGCCCCCACUCCAUCAGGUCCCACUUAAGGUAGCUCCACUGGCUUAGAGGACCACCCCACCCCAGGGGCUUCACCUAAACCAGUCACACUUUGUAGACAGUCCCCUCAUUGAACUCUGAUCAAAUUACCCAAUUUAAAUAUACCAUCUGUUUCCCGCAGGGACUCUGACUGACCCAGUGACCUAGUCUAGGAGGUUAGGGAGUCUUCUGAGAAAAGGAUGCUUGAGCUGAACUCUGAAGGAUUAAAUUCUCACUGCUUUUAAUAGUAGGAUCCAACAUGUGUGUUUAGUCAGUAGUGGGGGUCCUGGUAAGCUUGAGCCUGCAGUGAGGGGUGCUGCAGGGGACACAGGCGAACCCAUGAAGCCCCUCACCCCACCUCUUAGCCAUGCCUGGCCAGGGAGGGCAUCCCUAGACCCAGGCUCAGCUAUAAGAAAGAGCAAGAACCAACAAACAUUUCUUAAGCACCACUCCGGGGCCAGGCCGUGUGCUGGGCCUGAACGCUUCUCAUAGGUGACGUGGAGACCUGGGGGUGGCUGCCAUCUGGUGCUCUGGGUUUUGAGGGGUGCUCUCUGAAAGACCAAGCUGAGCAGCAGGAGGCCCAGAAAUGGGGGCUCCCAUUAGACAUUGUGGCCAGUCUCACAGCACAGCCAGAAGGGCCAGCACUGCAGGGAGGGGAGCAGAGGGGAGGAUGUGCUCUUUGGCCAGGCGAAAGCCUGGUCCCCAGGACUGAGGUCCUAGAGAAUCAGGGAUGCAGGAGAAUGAUGAAGAGAGAGGUCUCAAGGCCAAAGACAAUAAGGUGAACUGUCAGAAAGUCUGGGAGAAAGAUGAUUUGAGGGUGACCCGAGAGGCUUGCUGUCAAAUGUCCCAAGAUCGGACAGUCGAGCAAGGCAGCAUGAUGGAAGGAAUCUAGCCCUGUCCAUCCACAUAAGCCCAAUUGCAAGUGCACUGUUGGAGUCAUGAAAAAUGUAAUGUCUAGUUCUGGUGUGAGCAGGGCCACUCUCUUCCAAAGAUACUCCCAUGGGAACAGAAAAAAAGGGUAGAAGCCCGAAGAGCCAUAAAAGGCAGCAAGGUCAGGAAGCCACCAGAAUGUCAGUGAGAUGUUUAAUUUUGAAAAUCAAUUAAUGUAAUGUGUCAUAUCAACAGAUCGAAGGGAGAAAGUCCAUGCUCAGGUUUAUAGAUGCAAAGAUCUGUUUGAUAAAAUUCAACAUCCACUCAUGACUUAAUAAAGAAACAAAACCUAUGGCAAAUCACAUGUAAAAGUGUUUAAGAUAUUCCCUUUAAUAUCAGAAAAGUGGCAAGAAUGCCUUCUUUUAUCUUUUCAAUGCUGUAAUGCAUUAAAGGGCUUAGGCAGUGCAAUAAGAAGAAAAAAGAAAUAAAAGAGAGAUUGGAAAGCAAUAAUCAAAGCUGUCAUUAUUUGAGGCAGAUAGAUAAUUGAAAGUACCUCUGAUUGGUUGCAGCAGACAAUCAGAUGUUUGCAUAGAGUAAGUUUGUAACUUCAGCCUCUGGUUGCUUUCCAAAACAAUUAGACUGAUUGCCGGCCACCACUUCAUUUACAUGGGGUGAACACCAAGUGGCCAAUGGGAAACCUCUAGGGGAUAUUUGGACCCCGGAAGAUACUGUAACCGAGGCCCUUGAGCUGCUGCUCUGGCCCACUCCCACCCUGUGGCAUGUACUUUCAUUUUCAAUAAAUUUCUACUUUUGCUGCUUCAGUCUUUCCUUGCUUUGCUGUGUGUUUUGUUCAAUUCUUUGUUCAAAACACCAAGAACCUAGACAACUUGCAGUCGAUACCCUCUACAGUUAACAAGCUGGGGAAUGCUCCUUCCAGGGUCCCAAGGUCCUUGCCUGGCUGAGCUUCUGGUGGCUGCCAGCAUUCCUCGGCUUGUGGCCGCAUCACUCCAUUCUCCAUCUCCAUGGUCACAUCACUUCUUUUCUGUCUGUUUUCAGCCUCCCUCUGCCUCUCUUAUAAAGACAUUUGUGAUGCAUUUAGGGCAUACCUGGUUACUACAGGAUAAUCCCCCUUAUCAAACUCCUUAACCUAAUCACAUCUGGAAUACAUUGUUUUUGCCUAGAAAUUCAUAUUCACAGGUUGCAGGGGUUAGGACCUUCUCAGGCACCAAAUGAUAAGAAAUCAUCUUUCUGAGUAACCCACAUGGAGUGGC